AGGACGAACGCUGGCGGCGUGCUUAACACAUGCAAGUCGAACGGGAUUAAGUGGAAAGGCUUCGGCCCGGAAGACUAAUUCGAGUGGCGGACGGGUGAGUAACGCGUGAGCAACCUGUCCCAGACAGGGGGAUAACACUUGGAAACAGGUGCUAAUACCGCAUAAGACCACGGCAUCACAUGGUGCAGAGGUAAAAGGAGCAAUCCGGUUUGGGGUGGGCUCGCGUCCGAUUAGAUAGUUGGUGAGGUAACGGCCCACCAAGUCAACGAUCGGUAGCCGACCUGAGAGGGUGAUCGGCCACAUUGGAACUGAGAGACGGUCCAAACUCCUACGGGAGGCAGCAGUGGGGAAUAUUGGGCAAUGGGCGAAAGCCUGACCCAGCAACGCCGCGUGAGUGAAGAAGGCCUUCGGGUUGUAAAGCUCUGUUAUGUGGGACGAAGGAAGUGACGGUACCACAUAAGGAAGCCCCGGCUAACUACGUGCCAGCCGCCGC
rnacentral:rRNA from 1 species